GCCAAAAGCAGAGGGGAAGGCGGUGCCGGGGGCCGUGCCAGGCUGGGUGCGGUGGUUUCGCCCCGCGGAAGGCCCCCGCGGCGGUUCUUAGAGCAGGAACGGGAGCGCAGCGCUGCCCGCAGGUUUCUGAAGCAGAAAACGAAAUGUUCUUUCCGGCCCUGGGAGCCCUCAUCGAUAGGGAGAAGGGAACGCGUCAAGAUCCCCCCGAACCGCCGUGGGCUUUUAGGGAGGGAGUUCCGCCAACCGUCGGACCCGAGGGGACGGCCGGAGCUCCCGCUGCCCGGGCGAUAACGCCGGCCCCGACGUCGCAGCGCGGGGGGUGGCGGCGAUAACAGAGUAUUUGAAGGCGCUGGGAUAAGGAGCGGAGGGACGCGCGGGCGGCACGUCGGCGCUCGGGGCGCUGCGUUAUCGGCCCGGCCCCAAACGCUCCCCGCGCCGCUCGGGUACAUCGCGUUACAUAAACACCGCCCGGGGAGAGCGCGACGGUCCCCAAAGUGACCCCUCGCAGCCGGCCCGGCCCUCCCCGAGAUGAGGUAACGAACACGGAGGGAGAAAGAAAGAGCGUUUUACGUGGCACAGUCGUAUGGGAGUGAGCGCGGGGCGUUGAGAGACAGCGGAUCGCUGCUUCGAGUAGGUUAUUUUCCACGCGUUAUCACGCCCGUUAACAAACAUCGAAAGGUAAAAAUAACGACGGAGCGCAAGGAAAUGAAAUCAAAUGCACGUGAUUAUUUUUAGGAAGAUAAAAUAAAACGCAAAUAAAACAAAAAGCCGGGAGGAGAACAUCAGUGCCCGCACAGAGCCCGGAGGAAAGCCACAAUCCGACGGAGCAACGUUCCCACUCGCUCCCCCCAUCCCGGC
rnacentral:lncRNA from 1 species